AGAGAGGAGGUGUGAAGAUUCAAAUUGCUUCAGGGUCUUGGCUGAGGUCGGACAGAGACUAAUUGAAGAGGCUGUGUCGGGUCCUCCAUGUGCAGCAGAUAUCCCCAGAUAAAGAAUCUGAAGUUCAAACAAUUUCAACAACUCAUGCCACCCCUCUCUCCCUGCUUCAGCAAGAAUUAGAAACUGUGUAGUUUGACUGCAGACACAAAGUACUUUCUGUUUGUGACCAAUUAAACCAAAUCUGCUAAAAUUA